UUAUGAGAUGGUUUCAUCGCCUCUUGCUCAGCUGUUUUGGUAUUGCCAUUGGCAUUUCUAGAGCCACUUUCUUCCUCUGAACCAUCAUCAUCGAGUGAUGUUUGAUCCAUCUCAGUGGCUUUGUUCUCACACUUUGGAGAACAGGUUGAUGGAGGACUGAAAGCUGGACGGUAUUGAUCCACAUAAGGCUGUAAAUAAGGGUGCUUUAACACCUCAGAUGCCUGUGAAAAUAUGAAGUGAGAAUAUUUAGGAAAAACAGUGACAGUAAACCAUUUCCACAUUGUAAAUAAAUUUGCUCUCAAGAGAAUCUUACUGUUGGUCGA